CAACAGAAAUUUAUUUUCUCACAGUUUUGGAGGCUGGAAAUCCAAGAUCAAGGUGCUGGCAGGGCUGGUUUCCUCUGAGGCUUCUCUCCUUGGCUUGCAGAUGGCUGUCCUCCUGUUGUGUCCUCACAUGGUCCUC
rnacentral:miRNA from 1 species